rnacentral:rRNA from 1 species
AUUGAACGCUGGCGGCAGGCCUAACACAUGCAAGUCGAACGAGUGGCGGACGGGUGAGUAAUGUCUGGGAAACUGCCUGAUGGAGGGGGAUAACUAAUGGAAACGGUAGAUAAUACCGCAUACCAUCAGAUGUGCCCAGAUGGGAUUAGCUAGUGGGUGGGGUAACGGCUUACAAGGGAGACGAUCCCUAGCUGGUCUGAGAGGAUGACCAGCCACACUGGAACUGAGACACGGUCCAGACUCCUACGGGAGGCAGCAGUGGGGAAUAUUGCCCAAUGGGCGCAAGCCUGACGCAGCCAUGCCGCGUGUAUGAAGAGGGCCUUCGGGUUGUAAAGUACUUUCAGCGGGGAGGCGUUACCCGCAGAGGAAGCACCGGCUAACUCCGUGCCAGCCGCCGCGGUAAUAC